CCUACGGGAGGCAGCAGUGGGGGAUAUUGCACAAUGGGGGAAACCCUGAUGCAGCGACGCCGCGUGUGGGAAGACGGUCCUCUGGAUUGUAAACCACUGUCCCCAGGGACGAAGAUGACGGUACCUGGGGAGGAAGCUCCGGCUAACUACGUGCCAGCAGCCGCGGUAAUACGUAGGGAGCGAGCGUUGUCCGGAAUUACUGGGUGUAAAGGGAGCGUAGGCGGGACUGCAAGUUGGGUGUCAAAUCUACCGGCUCAACCGGUAGCCGCACUCAAAACUGCAGUUCUUGAGUGAAGUAGAGGCAGGCGGAAUUCCUAGUGGAGCGGUGAAAUGCGGAGAUAUUAGGAGGAACACCAGUGGCGAAGGCGGCCUGCUGGGCUUUUACUGACGCUGAGGCUCGAAAGUGUGGGGAGCAAACAGGAUUAGAUACCCCAGUAGUC
rnacentral:rRNA from 1 species